UAUUAGGUUGGGGCAAAAGUAAUUGCGGUUUUUGCCAUUAAUUUCAAUGGUAAAAAUCACAAUUACUUUUGCCCAAACCUAAUA
ensembl:miRNA